AGAAGCAGCAGCGUGUUCCAACACAUCUUUUGCUCCAAAAAGGUGACACUUGUCCUCGAACCCAAUGGGACCUCAGGAGCUACAGGCAAUAGGAGAUAUACCACAGGCUGAGGGACACCAGCUGUGAGCUAUCUGAAUGAAUGAUAAGACGCCGAAUGCGAAGAGGUGUGACCAUCUUCCUGGAUCUGCCUCCUGUGUUGUGAUGCAGCUCUUGGUUUGUGGUGAGUCCUAACUGACUCUCUUCCACGUGGCACUUAACUGCACAGCAGAGUACCCUUACCCGGGUUAACAGGAAACAUAAAAACGGAUGUCUCAUGACGCGUCAAAGGGGUCUUGCGCCUGGACCUAUGGAGCUGCAUUGAUUGGAUGGUCUCACAUUGCUCUGUCUUGACUCUCUGGAUUUUCACUUUGUGGGUAACUUUUUAAAAUUAAAAAAAAUUUUUUUUU